ACCCACACAGUGGAAGGAGAGAACCUAUC
rnacentral:piRNA from 1 species